rnacentral:rRNA from 1 species
AAUUUAUUUUAUUAAUAAUUUUUUAGUAAUUUUUAUUUAAAAUUUUAUAAAAAUAAUUUAUAUUUUUUUUGUUUUAGUAUUUAUUAAGAAAGAAUUUUUAGAUUUAUAGUUUAAUUAGUAUUGUAAAAGAAUUAAUUUUAAAUUAUUUAAAGAAUAUUUUUUAGUACCUUUUGUAUCAGGGUUGAUUAAAAUUUUAAAUUUAUAUUUUAUUUCUCAAAAUUUAUAGAGUUAAUUUUAUUAUUAAUUUACUGUUUUAUAAGUAUUUAUAAAAUAAUAUUAGUUUUGAAAUUUAAUUCGUUAUAAUAUAUUUAGUUAUUUAAGAUUUAAAUUUAAUUUAAAAUUUUAAAAGUUUAUAUUAAUUUUAUUAAUUGAAAUUUUAAAUUUAAAUUAUUUUAGGGAUAAGCUUGAAAUUUUUAUAUAAUAAAUUUUUUUUUUAAUAAUUUUUAGGAAUAGAAAUUUUUAUUUAAGUUUGUAAAAAUUUAUUAUUUUAUUUAAUUUAAUUUAUUAAAUUGGUUUAUUAUAAAUAUUAAAUUUUAUUAUUAAAUGAUUUAUUUAUAGUAAUAAUGAUUAAAUUAGUAUAAUUAUGAAAUUUAUAAAUUAUGAAUUCGGCAAAAAUUAUUUUCAUCUGUUUAUCAAAAACAUUGUAUUAAGUUUAAUUUAAUAUAUAAUCUGCUCAAUGAAAUUUUAAAUAGCUGCAGUAUUUUGACUGUGCAAAGGUAGCAUAAUAAUUAGUCUUUUAAUUGAGGACUAGAAUGAAAGAUUGGAUGAGAAAUAAACUUUAUUAUUUAUAUAAUUAAAUUUUAUUUUUAAGUAAAAAAGCUUAAAUUAUUAAAAGGGACGAUAAGACCCUAUAAAACUUUAUAAAUAAUUAUAUUUAAUUUUCUUUGUUAUAUAAGUAUUUAAAUUUAUUUAUUUAUUUUAUUGGGGUGAUAAAAAAAAAUUGAACUUUUUUUAAAAUUUUACGUUAAUUAAUGAAUCUUUGAAUUAAAAUUUUUAUUUAAAGGAAAAAGUUACUUUAGGGAUAACAGCGUAAUUAAUUUUUUAAGUCCAAAUUUAAAAAUUAGUUUGCGACCUCGAUGUUGAAUUAAGAUUAAGCUUAGGUGCAAAAUUUUAAGUUUUAGGUCUGUUCGACCUUUAAAAUCUUACAUGAUUUGAGUUCAAACCGGUGUGAGCCAGGUUGGUUUCUAUCUUUUUAUAAAUAAAUUAUUUUAGUACGAAAGGAUUAAAUAAUUGAAUUAAAUUUUUAAUUUAAAUGAAUAAAAUUAAUUUU